rnacentral:rRNA from 1 species
GCGUGCAGGACGACGGCUCUACGAGUUGUAAACUGUCUUUUGGUAACCGGGGUAAAAUGCUCUACGAGUUAGGGUUUUGAAAGUACGGUACGAAUAAGGAUCGGCUAACUCCGUGCC